UACGUAGGGGGCAAGCGUUGUCCGGAAUCAUUGGGCGUAAAGCGCGCGUAGGCGGUCCGAUAAGUCUGCUGUGAAAGUCGGGGGCUCAACCCUCGGAUGCCGGUGGAUACUGUCGGGCUUGAGUGCGGAAGAGGCGAGUGAAAUUCCUGGUGUAGCGGUGAAAUGCGCAGAUAUCAGGAAGAACACCUAUGGCGAAGGCAGCUCUCUGGGACGGUACUGACGCUGAGACGCGAAAGCGUGGGGAGCGAACAGG
rnacentral:rRNA from 1 species